AAUAUUCGACAAUGGUGGCAACCCUGAUCCAGCCAUGCUUCGUGUGUGAAGAAGGACUUCCGAUUGUAAACCACUUUAAGCUGGGAGGAAGGGCUUUAGGCUAAUACCUAGAAGUAGUGACGUUACUCACAGAAUAAGCACCGGCUAACUCUUCGCGAGCAGCCGCGGUAAUACAGAGGGUGCAAGCGUUAAUCGGUAUUACUGGGAGUAAAGCGCGCGUAGGUGGUUCAGUAAGAUGGGUGUGAAAUCCCCGGGCUUAACCUGGGAACUGCUUUCAUAACUGCUGAGCUAGAGUACGGUAGAGGGUAGUGGAAUUUCCUGUGUAGCGGUGAAAUGCGUAGAUAUAGGAAGGAACACCAGUGGCGAAGGCGACUACCUGGACUGAUACUGACACUGAGGUGCGAAAGCGUGGGGAGCAAA
rnacentral:rRNA from 1 species